rnacentral:tRNA from 1 species
GUCUCUGUGGCGCAAUCGGUUAGCGCUUUAUGCUGCUAACCGAAAGGUUGGUGGUUCAAGCCCACCCAGGGACG